rnacentral:sRNA from 1 species
CAGUUGCUGCUGCUGCUGCUGCUGCAGAAGUUGCUGCUGCUGCAGAAGUUGCUGCUGCUGCAGCAGUUGCUGCUGCUGCAGCAGUUGCUGCUGCUGCAGCAGUCGUUGCUGCUGCUGCUGCCGCUUUUGCAGCUGCUGCUGCAGCAGCAGUUGCUUUUGUUCCAGCAGCUGUUGAUGCUGCUGUAGUUGCUGCGGCUGCAGCAGCAGCAGCAGCAGCAGCAGCAGGAGCAGCAGCAGCAGCAGCAGCAGCGGCAAAAAAGC